CGAAUUGGUGAGAUCAAAUAGUAGAGACACAAAGGCUAUCAAAGUACAAUGUAUAUAUGGAAGAAAUUUCAUCAGAGCAUAUGAGAGCAGUAUAAUAACGCCGGUUGUUAUGUUACCAAUGUAACUCAGAAGUUGUACUGGAUGGUCUUUACAAAAAUUAAGCUCAAUUAUGUAGUUAUGUUGUUAUACAACAAUUUGUGUAUUAUUCAGCAAAUAAAAUGCAAGAUACAUGAUGACGAUAUACAUAAUUAACCUUAAUCAUAGAAUCAUUAUCAUAAGAUUAAAGAUCAAGCAAAAUAGCAAUAUAGUCUAUAUGGCUCUGGGGAACUUGAACGGAGCUGGCAGUAUUUUUCCCUUACAUAUGCAAGCAGUGUAAGUAACAUUUUACACUUGAUGGUGUAAAUAUCCAUGUCUAAAUAUUUUUUUUGUAUAAAAAGAAUUAGUAAGAAUAGCUAAUCAGGUUGUACUGGUCGAAAAAGAAUUAAAACAAUAGCAGGAGCAUCUGUAAUAUAGAAACCUAUAAAGGGUGAAGGAGAUGUAACAAUGUACAAUACCUUCAACAGCUUUGAUAAUAAUAACUUCAUGCAACACCCACUAAAAGUAUGAUCUAACAUUGUUAAUGUUAUGAUAGGAUACUCUGCAUAGAGAUGAAGAGAUCAAUUAAAGAACACAUCUCAACAACAUAUGGAUUUAGAAUAUAACAUGUGAAUAUAAAUAACUCUGAUGUGGUGACAUACAUAUAGUUCUUAUGUAGCAAAAAAUAGGGAAGCAACCUAGGUAAGUUAAAAAUGCGAGGCAACUGAUAGAGAGGAUUUUGACAUUGAACUCAUAAAUCCCUUCCCUAAGAAAUGUGCUAUCACUUGCCAUAUACUUUUUGCUUGUCUGAUGCACUCUACAGAUAUUUUUAUGAUCAUAUAUAGACAUAAAAAGCUAAUGAAUUAGCUUCAGUCACUUACUGAUUGUACUUUGAGAUACCGGUCGAUCAAUGCAGUAAACAUUUACCCAAUCAAGUUAAUUAACAUGUAAAGCAAGGCAGAAUGGGUAUCUACAUCCAAGUGGUGUAUGUGUAUUUGCAGGAAAAGGUAUUAAUUAGCAAACAGACAUACAUAUGUGAUCCUUUCGUUUAUGCUUCCAAAAAUAAAUGCAGGCUGCACAUAAAAAAAAGUUUUGAAUCAACGGAAUAUGGCCUUCUAAGAGCGAAAUCUGUGGUUCCAAAAAUAGAUGCAGGCCUGCACAUAAAAAUGAGUUUUGAAUCAACGAAAUAUGGCCUUCUAACAGUGAAAUUUCAGAAGCAUAAUGCAGGUAAAGCAUUCGUAACCUCAUAUCUUCAGACUUGAUUGACCAUGCACCACAGAAAAAUCAAGUAGAGAUUUCCACCAGUCAUAUAAGCCUGAUAUGAAGAAAGCAUGAGAUGCAGGACUGUAAAAGAACUGAGAAAUCAAUUUGAGGAGUAGUAUCAGCAGGAGGAGAUUUGGCUGCUGUCACCCAUGUCGAGUUUCACCUGUUGGUUACCGCGUGCUUGUAGGCGCUCGAUGCGGCACAGAUCUUGCAGAACCAAGUUCUCGUGGGAUGGAGAAAGAGACGAAAUGGCGG
rnacentral:lncRNA from 1 species